rnacentral:lncRNA from 1 species
UGAUCCUCUGUGUUGAUCUGAUCCUCCGUAUUCUUCCACGUCAAUCUACAAGAGACAUUGAAUACAUUCAAGUAAGCUUAUAGAAGCUUAGUAAGUUCAGAGGCAUAAAACAUAAAUCUUACCAAAUAUUUAUACACUUAUACAAUAUACACAAUUAUUAAGUUCACCUGUCAACCACAGUCAUUGGUGAGUUCCCUUGUAUAAACUUACUACCACUCAUCCAUUUCCUUUAAUUCUUUUGGGCCCGUUUGUCACAUAUCAUUCUUCAACCAAAUUAGGGAACGGUUACGGAAAAUUGAGUACUUCACUUUCACUUUGCCAUAGUAUAACUAUGGUCUUGCGUAUGAUCACUCAUCACUUUUUGAAGUCAUAGUCCUGCCACGGUCUUACACGGAUCACAUUUAUCACUUGUCACUGAUCAGAUAAGUGUAGCUAAAGCUACCACUUAUCACUUAUCACUGAUCAGAUAAGUAUAGCUGAGGCUACCACUUAUCACUUGUCACUGAUCAGAAGUACUCAAAUCCGACGUUCCGCUCAAUUUGAUCAUUUAUUUGAUUUUCGGGUUGUUAUCUUAUUCUCUAUUCAUCAAUAAAUAUAUUUCAUCAUACAUUAUAUAAUUCAUAAAAUUUACAUAUAAUCAUUAAACUUCAACCAUAUGAACUUACCUGGGUCGAUUUGUAAAAUUUGUGAAAGUUCAAGGACUAAUCAGCUACUUUUUCUUUUCCUCGACUUGCUUCGGGUUCUCGAUCUAUCAUUGUAAAAUCAUUCACUUAUCAGUAUUGACUUCAUCUUCAACCUGCUUAUAAGUAAUAUUAUCUAUAAUUUAAUUGUUUACUUAUGUAUAUUCCAAUGUUGUCCAUAAGUGCCAUAGUCACUAAAUUAUUUUUAUCUUUAGCUACAGAACUCCAAAUUAGGAUCCGAUAAUUUUUCUUGAAACUAGACUCAUAUAUCUUCUUAUCAUAAAAUUUUUAGAAUUUUUGGUUUAUCCAAUAAGUACAUUUUAUUCUUUAAAGUCACCCAUGUUCUGCUGUCUGACAAUUCCGACCCUUCUUCACUAAAAAUUAAUUAUCUCUUCGUACAGAAUUUGGAUGAUGUCCAUAUUUGUUUCUAUUGAAAAUAUACUUAUUAAGGAUUUUAAAAAUAUAAAUUUAAGCUCCUAAUUAUUUUUCUCCAAUUUUUUAUGAUUUUCCAAAGUCAGAAUAGGGGAACCCGAAAUCAUUCUGACAUUGUCUCACAAAAUCUAUUAUAUCUCAUGAUCUACAAUUCCGUUGCUUACACCGUUUUUUCUAUGAAAAACUAGACUCAAUAAGCUUUAAUUUCAUAUUUUUUUAAUCUUCUAAUUCGAUUUAUAAAAUUUAUGGUGAUUUUUAAAAGUUAGACUACUGCAGCUGUCCAAAACUGUUUUAGCGCAAAUGUUGAUUUCAGUUUUUGCCCCAAAUUUCACAGUUCAUACAAUUCAGUCCUUGCUCAAUUAAUCCCUCAAUGAAGCUAAUUUUUCCCAAUUAAUGCUUUACCUAGACAUUAUAAGUUAUUUCACAAUUAUUUAAAUUCAUAAUUUCCACAUAAAACCCUAACUUCAAACUCUUUCACCAUUAGGUCCCAAACAUUCACUUUCUAUUCAAUUCUUUCAAUAAAAUCAGCAUAUAAACAAUUUAAAACUCUAAUUCCAUGCUAAAUCAUCAUAUACUUCCAACACAUAUUCAUAACAACUUCCAAUUUCUUUUAUAGAAUCAAAAACUAAUGAAUUCAACAAGUGGACCUAGUUGUAAAAGUCAUAAAAACACAAAAAUUUCAAGAAAUAAUCAAGAAUUGAACUUACUUGCAGUAAAAAUAUGAAAAAUAGCUUAAUAAAACCCUUCUAUGGUGUUUUUGCUGAUGAUAAUGCAGAAAAAUAAUGAGAAUUCUAGAUAAUUUCACUUUAGUCCUAGUUUAUUAAGUAAAUUUUGCAAUAUUCCAAUUUUACCCUUAAUUCAUCAAUUUUCCUGCUGAUUUCAUGCACCUUGCCGUCCAGCCCAAAUAGACCUUGGGUCUAUUUGCCUUUUAAACCCUCUUUCUUUUAUCAUUUAAGCUAUUUAAUCAUUUCUCAUAAUUUUACAUUUGUUACAAUUUAAUCCUUUUUAUUCAAUUAACUAUCGAAACAUUAAAAUUUCUUGACGGAACUUUAAUACUAACUUAUUAACACUCCAUAAAUAUUUAUAAAAAUAUUUAUGGCUCGUUUUAAAAAUUUUCAAACUCACGAUAUCUGUUUUCGAUUCUAAUUUAAUUUUUUUUAAUUUUUAUUUCUAGUACACUAUUUGCUAUUUCAAAAAUUUUCCUAACUUCACACUUAACUUAUAUUCACUAAAUUAUUAAUAUUUUCUACUUAUUUUUCAAAUUUAGUGAUCUCGAAUCACUGUUCCGACACCACUGAAAAUUUAGGCUAUUACAAUUCUCCCCCUCUUAAGAAAUUUCGUCCUCGAAAUUUGUUACCUGAAAAUAGGUUCGGAUAUUGUGAUUUCAUUGAUUCCUCUGUUUCCCAGGUUGCCUCCUCCACACCAUGUCGAUGCCACAACAUUUUUACUAACAGUACCCGUUUGUUCCUUAACUCUUUAAUUUCCCAAGCUAGAAUUUUCACCGGUUCUUCUGAAUAAGUCAUGUCGGGUUGGAGCUCUAUUUCUGUAUGAGGAAUUACAUGUGAUGGAUUUGAUCUGUACCGUCUCAACAUAGACACAUGAAACACGUUAUGAAUCUUUUCAAGCUCCGGGGGCAAAGCCAAUCUAUAAGCUACCGGACCGAUUCUUUUAAUGAUUUCAUACGGCCCGAUAAAUCGUGGGCUAAGUUUUCCUUUUCUACUGAACCGCAAAACUUUCUUCCACGGUGACACUUUCAAGAAUACACGAUCACCCAAAUUAAACUCUAUAUCUCUUCUCUUUAAAUCUGCAUAUGAAUUUUGCCGAUCGAAGGCAGCUUUUAAACAAUCUCGAAUAAUACGAACUUUUUCUUCGGUUUCCCGAAUCAAGUCCACUCCCAUUAGUUUUCUUUCACUUAAUUCAGACCAAUAUAAUGGAGUUCUACACUUUCUUCCAUACAGAGCUUCAAAUAGUGCCAUUUUAAUACUAGUUUGAUAACUAUUAUUAUAAGCAAAUUCGAAUAAAGGUAAAUACCUUUCCCAGCUGCCGCCAAACUCAAGUACACAACACCUUAACAUAUCUUCUAAAAUCUGAAUCACUCGCUCUAACUGCCCGUCUGACUGAGGAUGAAAAGCUGUGCUGAAAUUUAAUUUAGUGCCCAAAGCCUCUUGUAAUUUACUCCAAAAUCUCGAAGUAAAUCUCGGAUCCCGAUCCGAAAUAAUAGAUACUGGAACUCCAUGUAAUCUCACAAUCUCAGAAAUAUACAAUUCCGCUAACUUCUCCAAUGAAAAAUUUGAUCUGACUGGAAUAAAAUGUGCCGACUUUGUCAAUCUAUCAACGAUAACCCAAAUUGAAUCUUUCUUUUUCGGAGUCACAGGCAAUCCUGAUACAAAAUCCAUCGUAAUGUGUUCCCACUUCCAUUCAAGAAUCAUAAUAGGUUGUAAUAAACCCGUUGGUACUUGAUGCUCUGCUUUCACUUGUUGACAGAUUAGACAUUUGUAACAAAUUCACAAAUCUCUCGUUUCAUACCAGGCCACCAGUACUUUUUUUUUUAAAUCGCAAUACAUUUUUGUACUACCCGGAUGAAUAGAAUACUUGCUAUUAUGUAGGGGUGUUCAUUCGGUUAACCGACCGGUUAACCGACCCGAAAUUACUAUAACCGAAUUAACCGACCUUCCAAAAAUUUUAACCGUUAAUCGAACCGAUUUUUUAAAAAAAAAAUUAACCGAACCGAAAUUUUUUCGGUUGAUAAGGUCGGUUAACCGAAUUAACCGAAAAUUAUGUAUUUUUUUAUUUUUGGUUAAAAAUUACCCGAAUUACCCGAAUUAACCGAAUUAACCGAACUAACCGAAUUAACCGAACUAACCGAAUUACCGAAAAAUACCCGAAUUACCCGAAUUUUUUUAUUUUUUAUUUUUAAAAUUUAAAAAAUUUAUAAAUUAUUAAAGUAAAUUGGGUUUUAGACUUUAGUAAAUUGGGUUGUCUUUUAAUUUUAGUUUUAUUGGAUUGAGUAAUUGGGUAAACUUUAGUUUUAGUUUUAUUGGGUUGGGUAAUUGGGUUGGGUAAUUGAGUUUGGGCUGGGUUGGAUAAUUUUAUUUAUUAAUUUUUUCGGUUAACCGAAAAUUUUCGAUUAACCGACCGAUUUCGAACCGAAUUAACCGUUAACCGAAAAAUCAUAAAAAAUUUAACCGACCCCCGACCGAAAAAAUUCGGUUAACCGACCGAUUAACCGAAUUCGAUCAGUUAACCAAAUUUUUUCGGUUUUACCCGAAUUAUGCACACCCCUACUAUUAUGAGCUUCAGCAAGAAUAUCAUUUUUCAAUUCUGAAUUAUUCGGAACAUAAAUUCUAUUACGAUAACACAACAUACCACCAUCAUCAAUGCUAUAUUCUGAACUCAAAUUAUCCUGAACCGUUUUUCGUUUCAGUACUAGUUUCGGAUCAUCACUUUAUAAUUCACGGAUCCUUUGAAGGAAUGUAGAUUUUGCUUUCAAUUCUGCUAAUACUGAACCAUCUUCAUUAACAAACAAAUGAACAUUCAUUUCUCGAAGUGCAAACAAUGAUGAUUUUCGGCUAAGUGCAUCAGCGACCACAUUUGCUUUCCCGGGGUGAUAAUCAAUACCAAGAUCAUAAUCUUUCAAUAGUUCGAGCCAUCGUCUCUGUCUCAAGUUCAGCUAUUUCUGUGUCAUCAAAUAUUUCAGACUUUUGUGAUCGGUAUACACAUAACAUUUUUCCCCAUAUAAAUAAUGUCUCCAGAUUUUUAAAGUAAACACAAUCGCGGCCAACUCCAAAUCAUGGAUAGGGUAAUUUUUUUCGUGUGGCUUUAAUUGCCGAGAAGCAUAUGCCACUACUUUCCCUGACUACAUUAAAACACAACCCAAACCAUUUAAAGAUGCAUCACUAUACACAACAUAUAGUAUACCUGAUUCUGGCUGAGUUAACACUGGAGCUUCUGUCAACAUCUUCUUCAACUGGUCAAAACUUUGUUGGCACUCUUUAGACCAUACGAAUUCAACAUUCUUCUAAAGUAAUCGAGUCAUCGGCAAGGCAAUCAUUGAAAGAAUUUUAACAAAUCGGCGGUAGUAUCCCGCUAAUCCCAGGAAACUCCGCACUUCUGUUACGUUCUUUGAAGUUUUCCAAUUCACCACUGCUGACACUUUACUUGGAUCUACUCGAAUUCCUUCAACUGAAACAAUAUGACCCAGAAAUCCAACCUCAUGUAGCCAAAAUUCACACUUGCUGAACUUUGCAUACAACUGCUUCUCUCUCAAAGUAUGUAACACACUUCUCAAGUGUUGUGCAUGAUCAGGCUCGGUCUUCGAAUAGAUCAGUAUAUCAUCAAUAAAUACAACCAUGAAUCUAUCCAAAUAAGGUUGAAAAAUGCAGCAGGAGCAUUAGUUAAACCAAAUGGCAUUACCAGAAACUCAUAAUGACCAUACCGAGUUCUGAAGGCAGUUUUUGCACGUCACAUUCUUUAACUUUCAGCUAAUAAUACCCAGAUCGAAGAUCUAUUUUUGAAAACACAACAGCACCUUUCAAUUGAUCGAACAAAUCAUCAAUGCGGGGCAAAGGAUAUUUGUUCUUGAUUGUAACCUUAUUUAACUGUCUGUAAUCUAUACACAAUCUCAACGAACCAUCUUUCUUUUUCACAAACAAAACAGGUGCACCCUAAGGAAAUGUACUCGGUCUAAUAAAUCCUUUAUCUAACAAUUCUUGCAACUAAGUCUUCAACUCUUUUAAUUUCAUCGGUGCCAUUCUGUAUGGUGUUAUGGAUAUUGGAGCUGUUCACAGGAUCACAUCAAUCACAAACUCAACUUCACGAUCUGGCAGUAAACCUGGCAAUUCCUCAGGAAAUACAUCAUCAAAUUCAUUAACAACUGGCAACUGUUUCAACUUUGAUUCAGAAUCCCGAGCAUCAAGAAUAUAAGCUAAAUAUGCUUCAUUACCCUUUUGUAUUAGCUUUUGAGCUGAAAAGGCUGAAAUAAUUCAGACAUUAUCUUUCUUAUUUCCAAACUCAGCCGAAAUCAUUUCUCCUGUCUGAUUUUUCAAAUCAAUCCGUUUCUCCCAACAGUUCACUACAGCGUCAUGUUUUGUUAACCAAUCCAUCCCUAGAAUAAUAUCAAAUUCCCGAAAGGGUAACAACAUCAAAUCAGCAGGGAAUUCACAGCCUUUCACUUUCAUUGGACAAUUACGACAUAUUAAAUUAACCAUCACACUUUGACCUAAUGGAUUAGUGACUUGUAUAUCAUAAUUAGUGGACUCAACAGAUAAUUUCUUUUCAGAUGCUAGCAUAGUGCAAAUAUAUGAAUGAGUAGACCCUGGGUGUAUUAAUGCAUAAACAGUAACACCAUAAAGAUAGAAAAUACCAGCAAUUACAUCAGGAGCCAUAGCCUCUUCCCUUGCUCGAAUGGCAUAGGUACGUGCUGGUGCUCUAUUCUCUGAUUGACUAAGUAGUUCUCUCAUAGCUGAACGGGUAGCCCCUGUAGCACUGCUCUGGCCCAAACUUCUACUUCUUUGGGGAGUGGUUCUCUGUAUCUCUUUCUGAUCCACUUCAUCUUUUUGCAACUAGGGACAAUCUCGAAUAAGAUGAUCAAUAACCCCACAUUUAUAACAAGCCCCCAUCUUAGUUCUGCAUUCACCGAAAUGAUGUCUUCCAUAAUAUUGACACUUAGGUCGAGAAGUAUUCUGAACACUGCUCACACUUACUACAGGUCUAUCAAAUACCCUGAAAUCAGAUUGUCUUGAUCACCUCUACCCAAUCUUCCCGGCACGGAUGUAGUUCGACUAAUUUCUUCUCUAAAUUUCUUCAACGGCAAAUCUAAAAAUGACUUAGAAGCACCUCUUUUAAAUGACUCUUUAUUUUUCCGAUCUCGCUGUAUUUUUUUGUUAUAUACUUCUUCGAGCUUUUGAGCACGGUCUGACAGAACAACGAACUCUCGUAUUUCAUUAACCCCAAUCAUCAUUCUAAUCUCAUCAUUUAACCCUUCUUCAAAUCUGAUACAUAUUUCUUCUUCAGUAGGUACAAUGUCUCGAAUACAUUUGCUGAGGUAGACAAAUUCUCUUUCGUAUUCAACCACUGACUUAUUUCCCUGCCAUAGAUCAAGAAAUUCUCUAUUUUUCUUGUCUAGAUAUCUUUUGCCCACAUAUUUCUUUUUAAACUCGUUCUGGAAAAAUUCCCAAGUAAGCUUCUCUGCAGGUACUACAGCUUCCACAGUUUCCCACCAGUUAUAUGCUUCUUCUUUUAACAAUGAGACAGCACAUCGUAGAUAAUCCUCUAGAGAACAAGCCAUCUGUUUAAAAAUUCUUACCAAACUCUGUAGCCAAUAUUCAGCUUUUACAGGGUCAUCAUCUGAUCUCCCUCGAAAUUCCUCAGCUCCAAACUUCCUAAGCUUUUCAAUCGAAGAACAUUUACUAGUUUCAAUUAUUGAAGGCGGUGGAGGAGCAAUCGGAGGUACCACAGGUGGUGCAGUAGAGGGAGGAGGUGGUUGAGCCUGACUUCUUUCUUGUACCAUCUCCUUUUACCACUAAUUCAUAACUCUAUAAAUCAUAUUUUUAAGUUCUCGCUCUCGCAUCAUAGAAAUUGGAAUAUCACUACUUGUUCCUUGUUCAGAAGUCUGCACUCUACUGUUAGCUUCCUCCUGUUCAGUGCAUUUAGGUCUAUCUGACAUCUUUAUAAUCGAAGAGUAUCUAUAAAAAUGACAGAUUAGAUCGGAUCAUACACAUUACAGUAUCACAGAUUUAUAUGACAUGUAUUUCUAAACACUUUACACAUAACACAUGUUCUGAGAAUCGGAUAAAUCAGGCUCUGAUACCACUAAAUGUAACACUCCUUACCCGUAUUCGUCGCCGGAAUAGGGUAGGAGGUAUUACCGGAGUUUACCGAAUUAAUUUUCUAUUAAUACGAAUUAAAUACUAUUCAUUUACUAAAAUAUGUCAUGGUGUCCUUUAGAUGGCCUCCUAAGCCCAAAACAUACUUCGGACCAAACCAGAAUUAAAUCGAAACAUAGGGAAUUUUUUGCAAAAUUCCAAAGUUUUUUUUUUUUUGCUCAAUAUAACCCCUUUAUAAAUAUCUAACCUUCCCUGCAAAUUUUAAAACCGAGAUCAAUCCAACCAACCAAUUCAUUUCAAUCAAUUUGAUACCAAAUUAUACUACUAUUAUAAUUAUACUAUUUAACAUAUUCAUCAUUCUUUACUUUAAUGUAUAUUCAUUAAACAAGUCUUAGUAUUUAUAUAAUCAUCAAACAUUAUACAUGCCAUAUAAAUCAAAAAAGAAAUUUACAAAAGCUACCGGUGAUAAUCUGGAUAGUGUGAUCCUCUGUAUUGAUCUGAUCCUCCGUAUUCUUCCACGUCAAUCUACAAGAGACAUUGAAUACAUUCAAGUAAGCUUAUAGAAGCUUAGUAAGUUCAUAGGCAUAAAACAUAAAUCUUACCAAAUAUUUAUACACUUAUACAAUAUACACAACUAUUAAGUUCACUUGUCAACCACAGUCAUUGGUGAGUUCCCUUGUAUAAACUUACUACCACUCAUCCAUUUCCUUUAAUUCUUUUUAGCCCGUUUGUCACAUAUCAUUCUUCAACCAAAUUAGGGAACGAUUACGAAAAAUUGAGUACUUCAUUUUCACUUUGCCAUAGUAUAACUAUGGUCUUGCGUAUGAUCACUUAUCACUUUUUGAAGUCAUAGUCCUGCCACGGUCUUACACUGAUCACAUUUAUCAGUUGUCACUGAUCAGAUAAGUGUAGCUAAAGCUACCACUUAUCACUUGUCAUUGAUCAGAUAAGUGUAGCUAAAGCUACCACUUAUCACUUGUCACUUAUCACUGAUCAGAUAAGUGUAGCUAAAGCUACCACUUAUCACUUGUCACUUAUCACUGAUCAGAUAAGUAUAGCUGGGGCUACCACUUAUCACUUGUCGCUGAUCAGAAGUACUCAAAUCCGACGUUCUGCUCAAUUUGAUCAUUUAUUUGAUUUUCGGGUUGUUAUCUUAUUCUCUAUUCAUCAAUAAAUAUAUUUCAUCGUACAUUAUAUAAUUCAUAAAAUUUACACAUAAUAAUUAAACUUCAACCAUAUGAACUUACCUGGGUCGAUUUGUAAAAUUUGUGAAAGUUCAAGGACUAAUCAGCUACUUUUUCUUUUCCUCGACUUGCUUCGGGUUCUUGAUCUAUCAUUGUAAAAUCAUUCACUUAUCAGUAUUGACUUCAUCUUCAACCCGCUUAUAAGUAAUAUUAUCUAUAAUUUAAGUGUUUACUUAUGUAUAUUCCAAUGUUGUCCAUCAUUGCCAUAGUCACUAAAUUAUUUUUAUCUUUAGCUACAGAACUCCAAAUUAGGAUCCGAUAAUUUUCCCUGAAACUAGACUCAUAUAUCUUCUUAUCAUAAAUUUUUAGAAUUUUUGGUUUAGCCAAUAAGUACAGUUUAUUCUUUAAAGUCACUCCUAUUCUGCUGUUUGACAAUUCCGACCCUUUUUCACUAAAAAUUAAUUAUCUCUUCGUACAGAAUUUGGAUGAUGUCCAUAUUUGUUACUAUUGAAAAUAGACUCAUUAAGGAUUUUAAAAAUAUAAAUUUAAGCUCCUAAUUAUUUUUAUCCAAUUUUUUAUGAUUUUCCAAAGGAAAAAUAGGGGAACCUGAAAUCAUUCUAACAUUGUCUCACAAAAUCUAUUAUAUCUCAUGAUCUAUAAUUCUGUUGCUUACACCGUUUCUUGUAUGAGAAACUAGAUUCAAUAAUAUUUAAUUUUAUAUUUUUUUAAUCUUCUAAUUCGAUUUAUAAAAUUUAUGGUGAUUUUUCAAAGUUAGACUACUGCUAUUGUCCAAAACUGUUUUAGUGCAAAUGUUGAUUUCAAUUUUUGCCCCAAAUUUCACAGUUCAUACAAUUCAGUCCUUGCUCAAUUAAUCCCUCAAUGAAGCUAAUUUUUCCCAAUUAAUGCUUUACCUAGACAUUAUAAGUUAUUUCACAAUUAUUUAAAUUCAUAAUUUCCACAUAAAACCCUAACUUCAAACUCUUUCACCAUUAGGUCCCAAACAUUCACUUUCUAUUCAAUUCUUUCAAUAAAAUCAGCAUAUAAACAAUUUAAAACUCUAAUUCCAUGCUAAAUCAUCAUAUACUUCCAACACAUAUUCAUAGCAACUUCCAAUUUCUUUCAUAGAAUCAAAAACUAAUGAAUUCAACAAGUGGACCUAGUUGUAAAAGUCAUAAAAACACAAAAAUUUCAAGAAAUAAUCAAGAAUUGAACUUACUUGCAGUAAAAAUAUGAAAAAAUAGCUUAAUAAAACCCUUCUAUGGUGUUUUUGCUGAUGAGAAUGCAGAAAAAUAAUGAGAAUUCUAGAUAAUUUCACUUUAGUCCUAGUUUAUUAAAUAAAUUUUACAAUAUUCCAAUUUUACCCUUAAUUCAUCAAUUUUCCUGCUGAUUUCAUGCACCUUGCCGUCCAACCCAAAUAGACCUUGGGUCUGUUUGCCUUUUAAACCCUCUUUCUUUUAUCAUUUAAGCUAUUUAAUCAUUUCCCAUAAUUUUACAUUUGUUACAAUUUAAUUCUUUUUAUUCAAUUAACUAUCGAAAUUUUAAAAUUUCUUGACGAAACUUUAAUACUAACUUAUUAACACUCCAUAAAUAUUUAUAAAAAUAUUUAUGGCUCGUUUUAAAAUUUUUCAAACUCUCGAUAUCUCGUUUCAGAUUCUAAUUUAAUUUUUUUUCUAGUAGACUAUUCGCUAUUUCAAAAAUUUUCCUAACUUCACACUUAACUUAUAUUCACUAAAUUAUUAAUAUUUUCUACUUAUUUUUCAGAUUUGGUGAUCUCGAAUCACUGUUCCGACACCACUAAAAAUUUAUGCUAUUACAAUAAACCUCAAAGCAAACAAAUCAUGAUCAGGAAUCAUUGUAAGAGAUAGCAAUGGAAACGAGGUCAUCACAAAAUCCAUAAUUAAUGAGAACAUACCUUCAGGCUCUGCAGCCGAAGUCAUUACAUGUUUACAAGCGAUUAGUUUGGGUAGGGACCUGGGACUAAAAUUUGUUGUUAUUGAAGGUGAUUCCUUGACAGUGAUCAAGAAAGCCAAAAGCACAACAAAGGAUAAAUCGGUAAUAGGUUCCUACAUCGAAGACAUUAAAGAAAUGAGCAAGUUUUUCCAUCAGAGUAAUUUCCAACAUGUGAAUAGAUUAGCAAACGAACAGGCGCACAAUUUGGCUUCAAAAGGGCUAAAAAUGGGAGAGCUUACCUACCCUAAACGUCAAACAGUCGGCCCAAAAAUCACAGAAGCAGAGAUUGAUAGAGGAUGGUGAUGAAGUUGUUGACGCAAAGAAGACGAAAUGAAUGUAGCCUCAAACAGCUGAAAGGGUUUUUCAUCCGAAUCUGAAAAGGAAGUGGUAGAAGAAACUGGAAGAUUUUUGUAACUGACUACUGAUUGAGUGCUGGUACAGAGAUGCGAAAAGGCCACAUUUAGUGGAGACCAGCUGCCGAUGUUGACUGGAUUAAAUAUUAGUUCCUGUUUUAUUUUAUCUUUCGAUUUUGAACUCAAGUCAUUUCUUUCUUUAAUUGUGGGCCUUUCUCUUAAAACUA